CAAAAUCCAUCCCCUUGUAAUCAAUUGAACUGUUAAGAAAUCUCUCUGGACGGAACCUCUCGGCUUGGACCCAAUAUUUUGGAUCUCGACCAAUUGCCCAUGCGUUAAUGACAACUUUCGUCUUGGCAGGUAUAUUAUAUCCAUUAAUCUCACAACUUGUGCGACAUUCUCUUGGAAUAAGAGAUAAAGGAGGGUGUAGUCUCAAGGUCUCUUUGAUUACAGAUUUCAAAAAUUUCAGCUCAUGUAUUCCUGUUUCAUCUACAGUUCCUUUCCGAUUAAAUACUUGUCUUACUUCAGCCUGUGCCUCCUCCAUCAGCUUUGGAUUCUUCAACAGUUCUGUCAUUGCCCACUCUAUUGUUGUUGAAGAUGUCUCACUCCCAGCAGUGAAUACAUCCUGC
rnacentral:lncRNA from 1 species